rnacentral:tRNA from 1 species
UGCGAAGUAGAGCAGCGGUAGCUCGUCGGGCUCAUAACCCGAAGGUAGCAGGUUCAAAUCCUGCCCCCGCAACCA